AUAGGGAGAAACAGCUGGGAGAGGUGUAAUAGGAAAUAUGUCUUUAGGGAGAAACAGCUGGGAGAGGUGUAAUAGGAAAUAUGUCUUUAGGGAGAAACAGCUGGGAGAGGUGUAAUAGGAAAUAUGUCUUUAGGGAGAAACAGCUGGGAGAGGUGUAAUAGGAAAUAUGUCUUUAGGGAGAAACAGCUGGGAGAGGUGUAAUAGGAAGUAUGUCUUUAGGGAGAAACAGCUGGGAGAGGUGGGACAUGGGCAACAAUUGCAAACUAUUUCCUUUAAAGGAUAGUUUAUCCUCUUUCUACACACUCAUUCACAAACAUCCCAAUGUAGUGUGUCACAAUAUUUUUUAAGUCUGAAAUCUUGACACAAAUAAAAUGUAAAAAGCUAAGUUGUCUAGAAGACGUUUCAAUAAAUAAUGCUCUGUCUAGAACACCUGUUUCUCUUGUUUGUACAUUUUUAAUAAAUCGAUCAAAAACA